rnacentral:lncRNA from 1 species
UUAAACAGAGAGAAUCACAAGUUAACUUGAUCAAGAUUCAACCACCGAAAACAUCCCAGUAACAGAACUGCUGGACCAUAUUAUUUAACCAUAAAACCCAUCCAAGACUAUAUUGAAUUUCUGCUAUUUAAACGUGAACCUAUCUUCAAAAUGUCCAUGCAUGCUUCCAUCACAAUAUUUAUAAUUUUUAUGACUUGUACAAGUUGUAGCAAAUCUGUACAUCUGAUGAAGGCCUGAUGGCUGGCACUUUUACGGUAACUGGCUGAAUUUAAGAUUAGUAUCACAGCCAGGAUGGGGUUUAAUGGUUUACAUCAUAGCUUGGCUGAGGUUUGUUUAACAGUUUAUACAGUGGACACAGUCAAGCCAUGGUGUAUACUGUAGGUUGGCUAAUAUUUGUUGCAUGAUUCAGUUUGCAGCCUAUUAGGGAUUCUGAUUUGUAGUGCAGCCUGGCUGAGGUUGUCCGAUUCAUACGGCAUCAUGACUGAAGUUCUCCGAUUCAUAUUGCAGCCUAACUGAGGUCGUCUCAUUCAUACUACAGCCUGGCCAAGGUUAUCCAAUUCAUACUUCAGCCUGAAUGAGAUGGUCCAAUUCAUAUUGCAACUUGGCCAAAGGUGUCAGAUUCAUAUUUCAGCCUGACCGAGGUUGUCCAAUUCAUACUGCAGCCUGGCCAAGGUUGUCUGAUUCAUACUGCAGCCUACCUGAGGUUGUCCAAUUCAUACUGCAGCCUACCUGAGGUUGUCCAAUUCAUACUGUUGCCAGGCUGAGGUUGUUUGAUUCAUACUGCAGCCUACCUGAGGUUGUCUAAUUCAUACUGUUGCCAGGCCGAGGUUGUCCGAUUCAUACUGCAGCCUACCUGAGGUUGUCUGAUUCAUACCACAGCCUAUCUGAGGUUGUCCGAUUCAUACUGUUGCCAGGCCGAGGUUGUUUGAUUCAUACUUCAACCUGGCCACGGAUGUCUGAUUCAUACUGAACCCUAUUCAAGAUUGUCCAAUUCAUACUGCAGCCUGACGGAGGUUGUCCGAUUCAUACUGCAGCCUGACUAAGAUUGUCCGAUUCAUACUGCAGCCUGACUGAGGUUGUCAGAUUCAUACUGCAGUCUGACUAAGGUUGUCCGAUUCAUACUGCAGCCUAUUCAAGAUUGUCUAAUUCAUACUGCAGCCUGACUGAGGUUGUCCGAUUCAUACUGCAGCCUGACUGAGGUUGUCCGAUUCAUACUGCAACCUGACUGAGGUCUGAUUCAUACUGUUGCCAGGCCGAGGUUGUUUGAUUCAUACUGCAGCCUACCUGAGGUUGUCCGAUUCAUACUGUUGCCAGGCCGAGGUUGCCCGAUUCAUACUGCAGCCUACCUGAGGUUGUCUGAUUCAUACUGCAGCCUACCUGAGGUUGUCUGAUUCAUACCGCAGCCUAUCUGAGGUUGUCCGAGUCAUACUGUUGCCAGGCCGAGGUUGUUUGAUUCAUACUUUAACCUGGCCAAGGUUGUCUGAUUCAUACUGCAGCCUAUUAAAGAUUGUCUAAUUCAUACUGCAGCCUGACGGAGGUUAUCCGAUUCAUACUGCAGCCUGACUAAGGUUGUCCAAUUCAUACUGCAGCCUGACUGAGGUUGUCUGAUUCAAACUGUAGCCUGACUAAGGUUGUCCGAUUCAUACUGCAGCCUGACUAAGGUUGUCCGAUUCAUACUGCAGCCUGGUCAAGAUUGUCCAAUUCAUACUGCAGCCUAUUCAAGAUUGUCUAAUUCAUACUGCAGCCUGACUGAGUUUGUCCGAUUCAUACUGCAGCCUGACUGAGGUUGUCCGAUUCAUACUGCAGCCUGGUCAAGAUUGUCUAAUUCAUACUGCAGCCUGACUGAGGUUGUCCGAUUCAUACUGCAGCCUGACUGAGGUUGUCCAAUUCAUACUGCAGCCUGCCUGGGGCUGACUGAUUCAUAAACCAGUCUAACUAAGGUUGUCUGAUUCAACCUGUAGCCAGGCUGAGGUUGUCCAAUUUAUACUUCAGCCUGGCUGAGGUUGUAAGAUUCAUAUUGCAGCCUUGCUGAGGUUGUCCAAUUCAUACUGCAGCCAGGCUGAGAUUUGUUUGCUUUGAUUCUUACUGCAGUAUGGGCUGAAGUAUGCCUGAUGGUCCAUGCCAAAAAUGGAUACAGGUUAUUUGAUGUUGGUUGGUUUUUGUCUGGGGACACAUUCAAACAUGAAUAGAAAUAAAACAUGUUGGCAAAACAAACAUUACAUGAAAAAAAAGCAAACAAAAUCUUAAGAGCCAAACUGCAAAUGGCUGUGCAUCAAUGUAAGAGCAACAGGAUGAAACCAAACUUACAGGAUGUGACGUAAAGCAUGCAAUUCUAAAACCAUCCACCCAGCCCACCUAAAACCCAACCCUUACAUGCAGUGAACCAUCAUGUCCAUACACUACCGUGAAAUCCUUUAUUUUUGCGGGCUUAAAUUUUCAGUUUUAAUUUUUUUUUAAACCCCUUUAAAACAACACAUUUUGUUGGGUACUUAAAUUAUUGGAUUGAAAAGGUGUCCAUGUAUUAUAUGUUGGUUGUGUUCUUAAAUUUGUUGAUGACACUAGUCCAUGAAAUACACAAAGAUUUAGACGACCACAAACAAAAGUGAUUUCACAGUAUAGCACAGCCUUUGUGUUAAAAUGUUAUUAGUUUAACCUCCACCUUUAAUUUGUGUAAAAAAAACCCCUGUAAUCUGCAGAAAUGGUUAAAGUUAUGUCUAAGAUGGACAUGUAUUAUGUGUGAGAUGAACACGUUAUGUCUCAUGGCUUUAUGUGUGAGAUGAACAUGUUAGAUGUCACAUGACUGUGUGAGAUGAACAUGUUAGAUGUCACAUGACUGUGUGAGAUGAACACGUUAUAUGUCUCAUGGCUUUAUGUGUGAGAUGAACAUGUUAGAUAUCACAUGACUGUGUGAGAUGAACAUAUUAGAUGUCACAUGACUAUGUGUGAGAUGAACAUGUUAGAUGGCACAUCACUUUGUGUGAGAUGAACAUGUUAGAUGGCACAUGACUUUAUGUGUGAGAUGAACAAGUUAGAUGUCACAUGACUUUAUGUGUGAGAUGAACAUGUUAGAUGUCACAUGACUGUGUGAGAUGAACAUGUUAGAUGUCACAUGACUAUGUGUGAGAUGAACAUGUUAGAUGUCACAUGACUAUGUGUGAGAUGAACAUGUUAGAUGGCACAUCACUUUGUGUGAGAUGAACAUGUUAGAUGGCACAUGACUUUAUGUGUGAGAUGAACAAGUUAGAUGUCACAUGACUGUGUGAGAUGAACAUGUUAGAUGACACAUGACUUGUAUGUGAGAUUAACAUGUUAAAUGUCACAUGGCUUUAUGUGUGAGAUGGACCUUUCCGCCAGUCUCCACAAAAACAAUAAAUCUCUUGAGAAAUCUAAAAUUUUCAAAAACGUUUUUUCUUUUCUACUGUCAGUGUUUGUAAAAUAAAUAAAGGAUAUCAUGGACCUGUUCACAAUUAACAGUUUACUAAACAGGAAUAGUGCGACACAAGACCAUGCGAUAAUCCACUACUGUGCACCAUUUGUUAUUGAGGUUAUUCCGUGAAAAUCUAAAUGCUUCGCAAAAGUACAAAUUAUUUACUUUUAAACUUGCAAUAAACAGUUUGACAAAUAUGCUAGCUCAAGCCCAGAGGAUAGUGCUUUUCCAAGUCGAGCUGGUGGCAGGCACUAACCUACUAUACAGCCUAUGGACUAGCUAGUGCUUAAGAAAAUGAAAACCAAACUCUCAGAGCUUCACCACUCUUCACCAUUUCUAAAAUUAAUCUUCCCACCAGUGUAAUUUUAUUAAACACUAAACACUAAAUGAAAACAUUUUCCACCUAAGCAACCAUGUUAUGUGCAAAGUGCCUCCACUUAACUGGCACCCUAAAUAUUCUUUAUUAUAUGUGCAAGUAAUACAAUGUACGUGUAAUGGAACCAGUCUAUUAAUUUAAGGUGUCACAACAUAGGCUAAUUUUAUUAACCUACAAAGUAUAUUGUUUGAAAUAUCAGCAUACCAGGUAAAUUAUUUUCAUUUAAAAAAAAAUAUCACAUGCAAAUAU